rnacentral:RNase_P_RNA from 1 species
UAGGCAAAUGCUAUAUAUAUUAGGUAUAUAGAGGAAAGUCCAAGCUCACACGACCUGUGAUGGUUGUAAGUGUUCGUGCUAAGGGAAAAAAUAACCUUAGGCAGUUUAUACUGACGGCUUUGAAAUAAUCCUAAUGGGAUUAGAUUAGAUAUAAAAGUGCCAAAGAGACGAGACUAGAAAGUAAUUUCUAGAGUGGAACGAGGUAAACCCCGCGAGUGAGAAACCCAAAUUUGGUAGGGGAGUCUUUACUAGGAAUAUGAACGAUGUAAAGGACCUAGAGAUAGGUAGAUAAAUAUUUGCCACCUUUUUUAAAGGGACAGAACGUGGCUUAUU